rnacentral:sRNA from 1 species
GACCCUCAGAGCUCCCGAUUGCCUCGCGUAACUCUUCCCUCUUUUCCCAGACAACCGAGCUCUCUCCGGAACUUGUCAUCUCCAACGACAAAAGGAGCUUUUGCCACUGACCUGGCCGUGUCCUGACACCUCCAGAACGCAGGUGCUGGCGCCCGUUCUGCCUGGGACCCCGGGAACCUCUCCUGCCGGAAGCCGGACGGCAGGGAUGGGCCCCAACUUCGCCCUGCCCACUUGACUUCACCAAACCCCUUCCUGGAGGCUGAACCUGGUGCUCAGGAGCGAAGGACUGUGAACUUGUGGCCGGAAGAGCCAGAGCUAGCUCUGGCCACCAGCUGGGCGACGUCACUCUGCCCCCACCCCACCCUCAAGUUCUAAGGUCUUUUCAGAGCGUGGAGGUGUGGAAGGAGUGGCUGCUCUCCAAACUAUAGCAAGGCGGCGGCAGAGCUGGUCUUCUGGUCUUCUUGGAGAAAGGUUCUGUUGCCCUGAUUUAUGAACUCUAUAAUAGAGUAUAUAGGUUUUGUACCUUUUUUACAGGAAGGUGACUUUCUGUAACAAUGCGAUGUAUAUUAAACUUUUUAUAAAAGUUAACAUUUUGCAUAAUAAACAAUUUUUAAACA